rnacentral:rRNA from 1 species
CCCUAUGGUAGCUUUAUUUAUUGAUCGCAAAGCGGAUCUGUAUUAUAAAAAUUAAAAAGAGAAGAUUUAGAUUUUCUCUUGUCGCCCCAACAAAAUUUUAGGUAUGAGGGCAUACUUUUAAAUCAAGCUCGAUAGGGUCUUUUUGUCUUUUUAUAGUAUUUAAGCCUCUUCACUUAAAGGUUAGUUUUUAUAUGUAGAAAAGAAACAGUUAGACUCUCGUGAUUCCAUUCAUUCCAGUCUCUAAUUAGGAGACAAAUUAUUAU